rnacentral:rRNA from 1 species
AUUGAACGCUGGCGGCAGGCUUAACACAUGCAAGUCGAGCGGAGAUGAGGUGCUUGCACCUUAUCUUAGCGGCGGACGGGUGAGUAAUGCUUAGGAAUCUGCCUAUUAGUGGGGGACAACAUUCCGAAAGGAAUGCUAAUACCGCAUACGUCCUACGGGAGAAAGCAGGGGAUCUUCGGACCUUGCGCUAAUAGAUGAGCCUAAGUCGGAUUAGCUAGUUGGUGGGGUAAAGGCCUACCAAGGCGACGAUCUGUAGCGGGUCUGAGAGGAUGUUCCGCCAGACUGGGACUGAGACACGGACCAGACUCCUACGGGAGGCAGCAGUGGGGAAUAUUGGACAAUGGGGGAAACCCUGAUCCAGCCAUGCCGCGGGUGUGAAGAAGGCCUUAUGGUUGUAAAGCACUUUAAGCGAGGAGGAGGCUACUGAGACUAAUACUCUUGGAUAGUGGACGUUACUCGCAGAAUAAGCACCGGCUAACUCUGUGCCAGCCGCCGCCGUAA